GAGUUUGAUCCUGGCUCAGAACGAACGCUGGCGGCAGGCCUAAAACAUGCAAGUCGAACGCUGUAGCAAUACAGAGUGGCGCACGGGUGAGUAACAUGUGGGAAUAUGCCUUUUGGUACGGAACAACUUUUGGAAACGAAAGCUAAUACCGUAUGGUCCCUUCGGGGUAAAGAUUUAUCGCCAAAAGAGUAGCCCGCACUGGAUUAGCUAGUUGGUAAGGUAAUGGCUUACCAAGGCGACGAUCCAUAGCUGGUCUGAGAGGACGAUCAGCCACACUGGGACUGAGACACGGCCCAGACUCCUACGGGAGGCAGCAGUUAGGAAUAUUGGACAAUGGGCGCAAGCCUGAUCCAGCCAUGCCGCGUGAGUGAUGAAGGCCUUCGGGUUGUAAAGCUCUUUAGUCCACGAAUAUAAUGACUGUAGUGGAAGAAUAAGCCCCGGCUAACUUCGUGCCAGCAGCCGCGGUAAUACGAGGGGGGCGAGCGUUGUUCGGAAUCACUGGGCGUAAAGAGUGCGUAGGCGGUUAUGAAAGUUAGAAGUGAAAGCCCCAGGCUCAACUUGGGAAUUGCUUUUAAAACUCCAUAACUCGAAUUCGGGAGAGGAUAGCGGAAUUCUCAGUGUAGCAGUGAAAUGCGUAGAUAUUGAGAGGAACACCAGUGGCGUAAGCGGCUAUCUGGACCGACAUUGACGCUGAGGCACGAAAGCGUGGGGAUCAAACAGGAUUAGAUACCCUGGUAGUCCACGCCGUAAACGAUGUGUGUUUGUCGCUGGGGAGUUUACUCUUCGGUGACGGAGCUAACGCGUUAAGCACACCGCCUGGGAAGUACGGUCGCAAGAUUAAAACUCAAAGGAAUUGACGGGGACCCGCACAAGCGGUGGAUGAUGUGGAUUAAUUCGACGCAACGCGAAGAACCUUACCUGGGCUUGAACUACUGGUAGUAAGUCUCUGGAAACAGAGGCUGAUCCGCAAGGAAGCCAGCAGAGGUGCUGCAUGGUUGUCGUCAGCUCGUGUCGUGAGAUGUUGGGUUAAGUCCCGCAACGAGCGCAACCCCUAUCUCAUGUUGCUACUCCCGCAAGGGAGGCACUCUUGAGAAACUGCCUUCGAUAAGAAGGAGGAAGGUGGGGAUGACGUCAAAUCCUCAUGGCCCUUAUGUCCAGGGCUACACACGUGCUACAAUGGCCGGUACAACGGGAAGCAAUACCGCAAGGUGGAGCAAAACCCUGAAAGCCGGCCCCAGUUCAGAUUGUGGGCUGAAACUCGCCCACAUGAAGGUGGAAUCGCUAGUAAUCGCGAAUCAGCAGGUCGCGGUGAAUACGUUCCCGGGCCUUGUACACAC
rnacentral:rRNA from 1 species